UUCCCCUGAGGGAGAAACACACACUGCAAAAAAACAACAACUAAUCCAUCUAAACCAGUUAAACAUAUCACACUAUCUUAACUUUAAUCAAACGCAUGCUCAUGGAGUGUUAGUUCCCUUGUUUUGUUCAACGCACUUUAUAAUUUUAUUCGGGUCUCUUAUAUUGAGACAUUUCCAGUUUCGAAGUUACUGACUAAGCUGAAGAAAAGAAAAAAAAUUAAUUAUGCUGCAUUGGAAACAGGUGGGAUGAUCUCAUUCGUGCUGCCCGCGAGCAGAUAGUAGGCUAAAUCCUACCUGAUGCACAAACACGUCAAGCGGUUCCUCCAGUGGCACUCCCUCCCGGUUGGUCAUGGACAGGAACCCGAAGCCCAUGCGGACGUUGAACCAUUUACACACUCCGACUCCGUGGAAAGACUGUGUAUCCUCCUCGGUACUCGGUCCUUCAUCCUCCUCAGUCUUACACACUCCUGCAAUGAAAAGGUGUACCUACUUACAAAAAUAAAAUAUAAAAUCCGUAUAUAGCCCUAC